UUAUCCAGAUUUAUUGGGUUUAAAGGGAGCGUAGACGCCAUGUUAACUCAGUUGUGAAAGGCUGCGGCUCAACCGCAGCACUGCAGUUGAUACUGGCGUCCUUGAGUGCGGUUGAGGUGUGUGGAAUUCGUGGUGUAGCGGUGAAAUGCUUAGAUAUCACGAAGAACUCCGAUUGCGAAGGCAGCACUCUAAGCCGCUACUGACGUUGAGGCUCGAAAGGUGUGGGUAUCAAACAGGAUUAGAUACCCUGGUAGUCCACCCGGUAAACGAUGAAUACUCGCUGUGGGCGAUACAUUGUCAGCGGCCAAGCGAAAGCAUUAAGUAUUCCACCUGGGGAGUACGCCGGCAACGGUGAAACUCAAAGGAAUUGACGGGGGCCCGCACAAGCGGAGGAACAUGUGGUUUAAUUCGAUGAUACGCGAGGAACCUUACCCGGGCUUAAAUUGCAGAGGACAGGUCUAGAGAUAGACUCUUCUUCGGAUCUCUGUGAAGGUGCUGCAUGGUUGUCGUCAGCUCGUGCCGUGAGGUGUCGGCUUAAGUGCCAUAACGAGCGCAACCCUUGCCAUUAGUUACUAACAGGUUAUGCUGAGGACUCUAGUGGGACUGCCAUCGUAAGAUGUGAGGAAGGUGGGGAUGACGUCAAAUCAGCACGGCCCUUACGUCCGGGGCUACACACGUGUUACAAUGGGAGGUACAGAAGGCCGCUACCCGGCGACGGGACGCCAAUCCCCAAAACCUCUCUCAGUUCGGAUUGGAGUCUGCAACCCGACUCCAUGAAGCUGGAUUCGCUAGUAAUCGCGCAUCAGCCACGGCGCGGUGAAUACAAAGCCGGGCCUUGUACACACCGCCCGUCAAG
rnacentral:rRNA from 1 species